rnacentral:rRNA from 1 species
UACGGGGGGGGCAAGCGUUGUUCGGAAUUACUGGGCGUAAAGGGCCAGUAGGCGGCCAACUAAGUCGGAUGUGAAUCCCCAGGCUUAACCUGGGAACUGCAUCCGAUACUGGAUGGCUUGAAUUCGGGAGAGGGAUGCGGAAUUCCAGGUGUAGCGGUGAAAUGCGUAGAUAUCGGGAGGAACACCUGUGGCGAAGGCGGCCGACUGGGCCGACCCUGACGCUGAGGCGCGAAG